UCUCUCUAUCAGUAUAUCAAUGUACAAUGGAGAAAGAAAUAAAACAAAAAAUAUAAAAAGAUAAAGGCAAAGAAAAUAAAAGGAAAAAAUAUAGUAAUUAACAGAUGAACCUUCAAUUUUAUUAUAACCAUAAACUCGUCACUCAAUUUUAAAAUUAAUUUGAAAUUGAUUUCAAAUUAAAAUUUUAACAGAGUACAUAUUUAUCUCGUCGACCUUUAUGCUCUGAGUAGUUAUACAUAAGUAAUUAUCA
rnacentral:lncRNA from 1 species